UGGGGAAUAUUGGGCAAUGGGCGCAAGCCUGACCCAGCAACGCCGCGUGAAGGAAGAAGGCUUUCGGGUUGUAAACUUCUUUUGUCAGGGACGAAGCAAGUGACGGUACCUGACGAAUAAGCCACGGCUAACUACGUGCCAGCAGCCGCGGUAAUACGUAGGUGGCAAGCGUUAUCCGGAUUUACUGGGUGUAAAGGGCGUGUAGGCGGGGAGGCAAGUCAGAUGUGAAAACCACGGGCUCAACCUGUGGCCUGCAUUUGAAACUGUUUUUCUUGAGUGCUGGAGAGGCAAUCGGAAUUCCGU
rnacentral:rRNA from 1 species